rnacentral:rRNA from 1 species
UACGGAGGGAGCUAGCGUUGUUCGGAAUUACUGGGCGUAAAGCGCACGUAGGCGGCUUUGUAAGUUAGAGGUGAAAGCCCGGGGCUCAACUCCGGAACUGCCUUUAAGACUGCAUCGCUUGAAUCCAGGAGAGGUGAGUGGAAUUCCGAGUGUAGAGGUGAAAUUCGUAGAUAUUCGCAAGAACACCAGUGGCGAAGGCGGCUCACUGGCCCGAUACUGACGCUGAUGCACGAAAGCGUGGGGAGCAAACAGG